ACUCGCGGGAUGAGCCGCUGGCCUCCCGGCCGAGUGUCUCAUCACGAAGUCCGGCAGCCUCAGUAACGCUCCACACGCGAACCACUGGGAAAUGCACAUCAAAACCACCAGAGACGCCACCCGGCAGCCACCGGGGCGGCCCCCGUCCCAGAGCGGCAAACAACACGCACCGCCGGGCCGUGGCGGAACCGGAAGCCGUGUCGGCUGUGGGCGGGAACGUACAACGGUGGCUGCGGAACGCGCCGUGGCGGUUCCGGCUCCAGCGGCGGCGGAAAGGACCGUGUGGCCCACACACAGGCGUGUCGCCGAGCCUCGGAGACGGGGAGACGCUGCACCUGGGGCAGCACCGAGGACCCCUGGGCAAAGGAAGUCCGCGUCAGAGACCGCGGCGUGUGGCCCCGCGAAUGUGAUGGACCUGGCCUCGUCAAGGUCACGGCAAGGUCAUGGUUGUCGCGGGAGCCCGGAGGGGGGUCGGAGCUCCAGUCCAGCAAGACGAGUGAGCUCUGGGGCGCCUGGGCGGCUCAGUCAGUUCAGCGUCCGACUUCGGCUCAGGUCGUGAUCUCACGGUUGUUCUCUGAGUCAGGCAUUCAUGAAUUCUCCAGGAUGGAGGUCCCUGCUGGGAUCUGGAAGUACAAUUAACGCCAUCUUUGGCUAGAAGUGACCAGGUGAACGUGUCGGCCGGUGAGAUGCAAACAGAAGUCUACCGUGUGAGGCCUCAGGGAAAACGAAGCCCACUCAGCCGGCCUAUGCCUGUGCCCAGCCUGGAAUGUGAAAGUGAUGGCUGGAAGAGGAGCAGCCAUUUUGCAACCAUGAGGAUAAAACUCACACAUUAAGAAUGACACAGCAGAGAGCCAAAAAACGAACAAAACCCCAGACACAGCUGUGCUGGUCCUGAAUAGACUUCUUCAGGAUUCCUGUCAUUUGUGAAAAACGAAUUCCGGUGUAGUUAAGCCACUGGUAGAUCUGUUUCCUCUUACGUGUGGCCGGUGCGAGCCCUGAAUGACGUACCCUUCUAGAUAACUGGACACUCGCAGAGCCAACUAAACCAGCAUCAGAGGAGACACGGGCAGUGUCUAAGGCCAUCCUCCACUGAAAAUGGUGUGUUUUCAGGCUCCCCUGCCCUGCAGGUUAGGAAUGCGGGGUUGAGUCACUGUCUCUGAGGACAAGAACCUCAGCGGCCACAGUGAACACCUGCCAUUAUGUCUCAAGCCCCCGGCACCCCCACUGGGGCCCCAGGCUGCUGAGGCCCUCCUUUUACGGGGAACUACCCUUUCUCCGUGCAGCUCCCUCUUCUCCUCGUGCCCCUGGCUCUUCCUCCCCAGGGAUCACUGUUUGUCCCCAGCCUCACUGCAGGACCGAUCUGCUCUCCUUCCUCCCGGUAACCGCCCCCUCCCUGGGCGGGGCAGACCGUCACCCAGGAAGCGUUGCCUCUUCGCUCCUCUCUUCUGUGCUCCAGACUGACACAUACUGUGUGCCUGACCCCCUGGGACGCCCAGGCCUAGUAUCCAAGCCGAACCGGUCUUCUCUCGUUAGUCGAAGCCACCGCGAGCAUCUCUUCAUACCCACUAGAAAGGCUAUUUUUUUUUUUUCAUUUUUUUUAAUGUUUAUUUGAGAGAGAAAGAGAGAGAAAGGGAGAGAGAGCGCGAGUGGAGGGGGCGACAGAGAGAAUCCCAAGCAGGCUCUACACUCAGCACAGAGCCCCACUCGGCCCCCAACUCACCAACCUUGUGAUCCAGACCUGAGCGGAAAUCAAGAGUCAGACCCACGGAGCCACCCAGGGGCCCCUGUUAUUUUUAUAAAAAACAAACAAAAUAACAAAUGUUGGCAAGGGUGAAGAAAUUACUGGCGGAAAUGUGAAACGGUGGGGCCCCUGUGGAAACCGGCAGGGCGACUCUUCCAAAAAAUUGGAACUAGAAUCAGUGUCUGAUCCAGUCAUCUGCUUGCAGGAUGCCACCCUCCUCCCUGGAAGACCAGGAGACCGUGUCAGGCACGGGGAGCCCCCCCAAGACCAGGAGACCGUGUCAGGCACAGGGAUCCCCCCACCCACCCCCAGAAGACCGGGAGACCCCUCUCAGGCAGGUCCUUGCACACCCACGUUCGGGCAACAGUGCUCACAACUGUGAAAACCUGGCUGUGAGCCAGGGUUGGGGGCAGGUGACCAGAGAAGCACGGGGGCCACACCCAGGAAGGAGCCUUGGUGCCACGGCGCCACGUGGGCCACGGCCGUCACAGAACAAGUGUGUGGUCCCUGUGACAGGCACGGUCACGGUGACGGAUGCAGGGGUGGGUGCGGGGGGUGCAGUGCAUGGGAGGAACACG